UUGAACGCUGGCGGCAUGCUUUACACAUGCAAGUCGAACGGCAGCGCGGGCUUCGGCCUGGCGGCGAGUGGCGAACGGGUGAGUAAUGCAUCGGAACGUGCCCAGUAGUGGGGGAUAGCCCGGCGAAAGCCGGAUUAAUACCGCAUACGACCUGAGGGUGAAAGCGGGGGACCGAAAGGCCUCGCGCUAUUGGAGCGGCCGAUGUCGGAUUAGCUAGUUGGUGGGGUAAGGGCUUAC
rnacentral:rRNA from 1 species